GAUGAACGCUGGCGGCGUGCCUAAUACAUGCAAGUCGAGCGAACAGACGAGGAGCUUGCUCCUCUGACGUUAGCGGCGGACGGGUGAGUAACACGUGGAUAACCUACCUAUAAGACUGGGAUAACUUCGGGAAACCGGAGCUAAUACCGGAUAAUAUAUUGAACCGCAUGGUUCAAUAGUGAAAGACGGUUUUGCUGUCACUUAUAGAUGGAUCCGCGCCGCAUUAGCUAGUUGGUAAGGUAACGGCUUACCAAGGCGACGAUGCGUAGCCGACCUGAGAUGGUGAUCGGCCCCCCUGGAACUGAGACACGGUCCAGACUCCUACGGGAGGCAGCAGAAGGGAAUCUUCCGCAAUGGGCGAAAGCCUGACGGAGCCACGCCGCGUGAGUGAUGAAGGUCUUCGGAUCGUAAAACUCUGUUAUUAGGGAAGAACAAAUGUGUAAGUAACUAUGCACUUCUUGACGGUACCUAAUCAGAAAGCCACGGCUAACUACGUG
rnacentral:rRNA from 1 species